GUCCUACACACAUUAAACAGAUAGAAUCUGUUAUUAAAAUCUUCCCACAAAGAAAACUUUAGGCCCAGAUGGCUUCAGAAUAUUCUUUAAAAUAUCUAAGGAAAAAAUAGCAUAAACCACACAAAUCCUUCCAGAAGAUAAAGAGGGAAUACUGUCCAACUCUUUUCAUAAGGCCAGCAUAAUGUGAAGUAUCAAAUUUAACAAAGAUAUUCAAGAAAGGAAAUUAUGGACCAACUUCUCUCAUGAUCAUACAUGCAAAAAUUCUCAACAAAAUAUUAUCAAAUAGAUUCCAAUGAUUUUUAAAGAGGAUAAUAUAUCUCAAGUGGGUUUUAGUCCAGAAAUGUAAGGACAAUUUCCCCACAUGAACGUCAGUUAAUGUAAUUCAUACUACAUUAACAGGGAAAAAGGAUAAAAAUCACAACAAUAAUCUUGAUAGAUAUAGCAAAAGCAUUCAAUAAAAUUCAACAUAUAACUUAGUUGGUAAACGUGCUAAAUAAACUAGGAAUAGAAGGGAACUUAGUAGUACAAAGCAAACACCGUAUUUAAUAUUAAAAUAAUGAAAGCUUUCCCUCAGAAAUUAAGAAAGGAUGCUUGCUAACACUAUUUUUAUUCAACAUGAUCCUGGAGGUCAUAGCUAACGCAACAAGGACAAAGAAAUAAGAAGCAUACAGAUUGGAAAUGAGGAAAUUAUCACUUUGCAGGUAACCUAAGUGCAAAAAACCUUAAAAUUCUACAAACUUUUCAAAAGUGAAUUUAACAAGGCUGCAGGAUACAGGCGAAUACUACAAAUUGUUUUUCUAUACAGUAAGAACAUGCAAAUAGAAAAUCAGAUAAAAAAGAACUUGCAUAACAGGUUUAAAAAGUUAAAUACUUAGGAAUAAAUCCAAUGAAUACUAUGCAAGAUCUCUACACAGAAAACUACAAAACGAUUAAAGAAUCAGAAAUUAAAGACAACCUAAAUAGAUUGAGUGAUAUACAUACUCAGGGAAUGGAAGAAGAUGUGGUGGCGAGCCCCACUUCUUUCUCAUGGGAAGGUGGGGUUCUACGUCGCCUUCCCUUGAGUUUGAGAGGGCUUGUGACUGCUUUAACCAAUAAACUACAGCAGAAGUGACACCAUAUGAUUUCAAAGGCUAGGUCAUAAAAGGUCACAAAGCUUUCUCCUCCAGUGUUCUCUUGGAACACUUCCUCUCCAGAUGCUCACUUUUGGAACUGAGCUGCCAUGUUACAAGGACAAGCCACAUAGAAAGGCUUUUAGUAAGUGCUCUAGGAGACAGUAUUUGUACAGGUGCCCAUAUCUGAGUGAAGAAGCCUCCUAAUGAUUUCAGCUCCCAGCCAUUUGAGUCACCCCCCUGCUGAGGCUCUAAGUGUCACGGAAUAGACAAGCCAUCUCUACUGUGCCCCAUCCCAAUUCCUGACCCAACAGGAUCCAUGAGCAUAAUAAAAUGGCUGUUCUUUUACACCACUUAGUUUAGAGUCGUUUGUCAUUCAGUGAUGACCAGAACAAAGGUUAGCAACUUUACCAAAAUUGCUCUAUAGGUUCAAUACAAUCCCAAUUCAUGUCUCAGCUGGAAAAAUGGAAAAGGUGAUCCUAAAAUGCAUUUGGAAUCACAAGCGACGUGAAUAGUCAAAACAAUAUUGUAAGAGAACAAAGUGGGAAGACCCACACUUCCCAAUUUCAAAAAUCACUACAAACCCACAGUAAUCAAUAUAGUGUGGUACUGGCAUAAGGCAUAUAGAUCAGCAGAAUAGAAUUGAGAGUCCAGAAAUAAACCUUUAUGGUCAGUUGGUUUUCAACAAGGGUACCAAGACCAUUCAAGGGGAAAGAACAGUCUUUGCAACAAAUGGUGCAGGCCUGCUCUUUAGAAGGUCUUGCUUACCAGCUUGGCCCUCGGCUGGCAUCUAGGAAUUUGGCUUUUGAAACUUGCCCUGUGUGAUAAGCUUGUGUCUGCUAUGUUAGCCUGACUAGAAUUUUUAAAUAUAUGGUGUGAUUUAUGAUGAACAUCUGCUUUUCUUCUGAGAGACUAGAAUUUUGGUGGGCAAAGGGUGCCUACGUGAUUUAGCCUCUAAUUAAAACCCUAGACUUUGAGUUUCAAACAGGCUUCUCUGGGCAGAAACACUGGUGCCCAAGUCAUUGCAUUUCACUGUUGGAGAGUGCACUCUGCGUGACCCCUUCACGGAGAGCAUAGGAAGCCCGCACGUGGAUUCCUCCAGAUUCUGCCUGAUCUGUCUUUUCCCCUUUCUCAUCCAGCUGCAUAUCUUUGUUGUUUUGCUAUAAUAAAUCUCAGCUGUAUGAGCAUAUGCUGUCUUGUGAAUUCUUCUAUUGACAUAUUGAAUGCGUGGGUGGUCGUGGCCCUGCUAAAAUGAGUGUAUCAGCAAUGCUAACAUAAGUGGUGUCACAACCUCGCCCCACAAUAAGUAUAUUGAGUUUACAAUUAAAUAUUUCAUACACAAUUCAUAGUGAUCUUUUGCACUAAAGAGAUCUUAACACAAUCAAGUAAAUUAUCUAGGGAAAGCAUAGCUCAGAACUUAUAUAUGUGCCAGUGUAACAAAAGCAACUUCCUCCUGAGGUAAAAAAGGCACAUCCUUCUCUCUACAAGAGUAGAACCCGAGAGUGUUAAAUUUUUAAAGAACUGUAUAUUUUACAAAAAUGACCCCAAAAGCUAAUACUUUUAGGUGAAUAUUAACCUCUUCCUAUUAGUUCAUUUAUAAUUUAAAACCACAUUCUUAUAUAUAAUAGGAUAAUGGGAGCAGAGAUUUAAAUGUAAUAUAAUACCAGUAAGUGAGAUAACACUAUCAGGUUGACACCAAGAUACAAAUGCAUUACAAAUUACUUCUACCACCAAAAACAUCAGCUGCCCACAAAUUUUCAGUUAUCACCACUACUGAAAAAACUCCUGGUGAAAACAUAUCAAUCACACAGUUUAAGAAGAGUUUGCAGAC
ensembl:lncRNA